AUCUCGUCCUUGGCCGAGGUCUCACUCUGCUGCUCAAUAAUAAUCUGCAGGAAUCGCAGAAAGAAAAAAAAAAUCACACAGAAUUACCCAUCAUGCCUUUCUGCAGAGGUCACACCGCGGCGUGCACGGUUCACUCACAUGUCACAGACAUGAUUCCAGCGCAACAGUGGGUUUUACACUGUGGACACAAGGCGGCAUCGUGCAUCAUCACAGCUGAACCGUCAGGUGUCGGCUCUGUCCAUCAAACAGAUCGUCCAAGAUGGAGGCAGCAUGGCGGCGUGAGACCUUCAGGGAUUCCGCUCUGUCCUGGAUGAUGUGAUGGAAGCAGAGAAGGAAACAGUGAAGUCAGGAGGAUGAGGAGAAGAGUGAAGAUGAAGAUAAUAACAUGAGAGGGAGCCUGAUAGAUAUUUGCACCGUCACAAGCAACUAUUUCCAGAUCUUAUUUUGACCUUUACGCUUCUCUCUUGUGCUGCUGUGUCAAGUUUGAUAAAUUCAAGGUACAUCACAUCCUACCUCUUAUCUAACCUUCCAAAUGUUUGGUUUUCGGUUUCUCUAAAUUUGAUGUUCAGAUAAUAAAGGACAGGUUUUUCCAAAGAACUAUUUAUAGUCUGUUUAGUUGCGAAGAACAAAGCAGAGUCUGACUCCCUGGGCGAUUAGCAGAUCAUCUGUCAGGUGGGAACAAGUACGAAAAGUAUUUGAAAUCUCCAAAAAAGUACAAAAAGCCUUGAAGUCUAGAAUGAAUCUGAUCAUUGUACGACCUGAUCAAAUAAACUAUUGUCUUCACAUUGAAAUAGUCGAUAUGGGAAACUAUAAGAGAGUGAUUUACAGUAGCUACUGUUUGUUGAUGCCAGAACACCUGCUCUCAUGAUGUGACAUUUACUUCUAUCAAUUCAUCAACACAAGGAGGAACAGUGUACUAAAGGCAACUAUCUCUAUUUUAUUUUCUCAUCUCCCUGAAACAAACAAUCAUAGGUUGAUCUAAGUUCCUCUGAUUUUCUGUGAGGGGCCAGUAUCUGGUCUCCUCAGUAAAUCAGUGUGUAGACACAGUGGCAGUGUAGUGACAGCUGCAAGCUUUCUCAUGAAUGACCCGGAGGAUAAAACGCACCACUGUGCCCCUCUAUUCACAGCAAAUCAAAGGCUUUGAAUUGCUUCGAGAAAAUAAUCAUUAUCUGUUGGUGGCUAAUGAGCCAGAUAGUCUGCUCGGGCGUAGGUAGUGACCAGAAAUUUAGCAAAAAGAGAGGACCAGUUGGACUUAUAUUUGCGAGAUGAGCAAGAAACACAACAAUCAACUUAAAAUGGUGAUAUAAAUGUCCUUGUUGUUUCUGAUGCCCCCUAGUGACCAAAACAAAUUGGUUAUUGCACAUUUGAGGAUCGAACUACAAAUUUCAAACGACUUGAUAUGUAAUAUCUCAUAGAUCGGUGGCUCUAAUGUGUCUGUCACUAGGCAGCGACUUUAAAUCAGGUCUACCAGUUAAUUAGCUUAGCAUUAGCCUCUCUGAUGCUUUAAUGAAGUUGGAUAAGUUGAGAUUAAAUCAUAUCUUGCUUGCACAGCACCAAAUGACCACAUUCAUUAUCUCAAAGCACUUUGCAUAGUGAGAACAAUAACUUUCCACUUUGAAUAGAAAAUUAAAUUAAGACAAUUAUUAUUUCUAUUUGCAAAUUUAUGGCUGCGUGUAAGUAAUCGUUUAACCAAAUGACCGGCGCACAUUCAAGAAUCCGUGAUGACAUAACUGCUUCUUAAUACAGAUUACGGGGUUGCAGGACAGUUUGAAUUUAGCUCAUGUUGUCAUGUAAUGUACGUGCAUUACACUUUACCGUAAUAACGAGAUCACAAUAAUUAUGGAUUUGUGCAGAGACAAUGUAAAAACACUAAGACACACAGGAUAGAGAGCAUGUUUCGGACCGAAGGCAAAGAUCAUAGCGGACGAGUGGAGUGGAAAAACGUUUGAGUGGGAGAAUAAUGACGGAGCAGCUCGUCCAUCCAGCAGCAGUCGACUGUGACCUCCUCUCUUCCUGUGGCCAACAGGCCUCUGCGUCAGACGAGCUCCACAAAUACACUAACCGAGUCCAGAUGAUUCAUUAGGAGGAAGUUGAUUGGGGUCACUCUUUUACGUAAUCACAGGGGGGGUUACUGUGUUACCUCAGGGAUGUUAUGUGAAUAAACAGUGAAAAAUUCCAUCUGAGAGUUUUGUUUUCU